UACGUAGGUGGCAAGCGUUGUCCGGAUUUACUGGGCGUAAAGGGAGCGUAGGCGGAUACUUAAGUGGGAUGUGAAAUACCUGGGCUUAACUUGGGUGCUGCAUUCCAAACUGGGUGUCUAGAGUGUUGGAGAGGAAAGUGGAAUUCCUAGUGUAGCGGUGAAAUGCGUAGAGAUUAGGAAGAACACCAGUGGCGAAGGCGACUUUCUGGACAAUAACUGACGCUGAGGCUCGAAAGCGUGGGGAGCAAACAGGAUUAGAUACCCUGGUAGUCCACGCCGUAAACGAUGGGUACUAGGUGUAGGAGGUAUAGAAUCCUCCUGUGCCGCCGUUAACACAAUAAGUACCCCGCCUGGGGAGUACGGUCGCAAGAUUAAA
rnacentral:rRNA from 1 species